rnacentral:rRNA from 1 species
GAAUAUUGGACAAUGGGCGAAAGCCUGAUCCAGCCAUGCCGCGUGGGUGAAGAAGGCCUUCGGGUUGUAAAGCCCUUUUGUUUGGGAAGAAAUCCUGCUUGCUAAUACCCGGCGGGGAUGACGGUCCCCAAAGACUCCACACCGGCUAACUUCGUGCCAGCCGCCGCGGUAAUACAAAGGGUGCAAGCGUUACUCGGAAUUACUGGGCGUAAAGCGUGCGUAGGUGGUGGCUUAAGUCCGUUGUGAAAGCCCUGGGCUCAACCUGGGAAUUGCAGUGGAUACUGGGUCACUAGAGUGUGGUAGAGGGUGGCGGAAUUCCCGGUGUAGCAGUGAAAUGCGUAGAGAUCGGGAGGAACACCCGUGGCGAAGGCGGCCACCUGGGCCAACACUGACACUGAGGCACGAAAGCGUGGGGAGCAAACAG